rnacentral:rRNA from 1 species
UACGGAAGGCAGCAGUGGGGAAUAUUGCACAAUGGGCGCAAGCCUGAUGCAGCCAUGCCGCGUGUAUGAAAAGGCCUUCGGGUUGUAAAGUACUUUCAGUCGUGAGGAAGGUGUUAAGGUUAAUAACCUUAGCAAUUGACGUUAGCGACAGAAGAAGCACCGGCUAACUCCGUGCCAGCAGCCGCGGUAAUACGGAGGGUGCGAGCGUUAAUCGGAAUUACUGGGCGUAAAGGGCACGCAGGCGGUUAAUUAAGUUGGAUGUGAAAUCCCCGGGCUUAACCUGGGAAUGGCAUUCAAGACUGGUUAGCUAGAGUCUUGUAGAGGGGGUAGAAUUCCAUGUGUAGCGGUGAAAUGCGUAGAGAUGUGGAGGAAUACCGGUGGCGAAAGGCGGCCCCUGGACAAAAGACUGACGCUCAUGUGCGAAAAGCGUGGGGAGCAAACAGGAUUAGAUACC